rnacentral:rRNA from 1 species
AACGAACGCUGGCGGCAGGCCUAACACAUGCAAGUCGAGCGAGGUAGCAAUACCUAGCGGCGGACGGGUGAGUAACGCGUGGGAACGUGCCCCUUGGUACGGAAUAGCCCCGGGAAACUGGGAGUAAUACCGUAUGAGCUCUACGGAGGAAAGAUUUAUCGCCAAGGGAUCGGCCCGCGUUGGAUUAGGUAGUUGGUGGGGUAAUGGCCUACCAAGCCGACGAUCCAUAGCUGGUUUGAGAGGAUGAUCAGCCACACUGGGACUGAGACACGGCCCAGACUCCUACGGGAGGCAGCAGUGGGGAAUCUUAGACAAUGGGCGCAAGCCUGAUCUAGCCAUGCCGCGUGAGCGAUGAAGGCCUUAGGGUUGUAGAGCUCUUUCAGCGAGGAAGAUAAUGACUGUACUCGCAGAAGAAGCCCCGGCUAACUCCGUGCCAGUAGCCGCGGUAAUACGGAGGGGGCUAGCGUUGUUCGGAAUUACUGGGCGUAAAGCGCACGUAGGCGGACUGGAAAGUCAGGGGUGAAAUCCCGGGGCUCAACCCCGGAACUGCCUUUGAAACUCCCAGUCUUGAGGUCGAGAGAGGUGAGUGUAAUUCCGAGUGUAGAGGUGAAAUUCGUAGAUAUUCGGAGGAACACCAGUGGCGAAGGCGGCUCAC